rnacentral:misc_RNA from 1 species
AAGUCGUAACAAGGUAACCGUAGGUGAACCUGCGGUUGGAUCAUCAACAAUUUGGUUUCACACCAAACAUUGUGUGCACUAUAUCUGUCCUUGCUCACUCGAGUGCCCCGAGAUCUCCUAGGAGCUCUCUCUGGGCCUGCGCCUCUGGGUUUGUCUCAUCUUUUGGGACCGGACCAUUGGAAUGCUGGGUGGGCGCUGGUUUAACAAACACUGUAUUAUUCUUUGUCUGAUUCAUUUUCUUUAUUGAAAAUUGAAAAACAACUUUUGACAACGGAUCUCUUGGCUCUC